GCGGAGAGCUUGACGACACCAACGGGGCUGCUGGAGCCGGUGUUGUCCCCAUGAAAGUGCCUCCACCAGGACACCCGGGAACAUCACCACAGACUCUGCUGCUCUUCCCUCCCCAGAUGAAUGUCUCCAAUGUAUCGUUUGCUGCUAGUUUUGUCUUUUUUCACCCAUCCCUUGUAUGGUUUCCUAUGUUCCUCCUCUAAGUAAAACCAUCCAGUAUUUUUCCUUUUCCUUCUGACUUAUUUUUCACUGAGCAUAAUCCCUUCCAGCUCCAUCUAUGUUACUGCAACUGGCAUCUUUAUCUUUUUUGAUUGCCGAGUAGUAUUCCCUUGUGUAUAUAUAGCACAUCUUCUUGAUGCAGACAUCUGGUUUUGGGCAUUUAGGUUGUUUCCAUGUCUUAGCUCUUGGCAAUAGCUGCACCUUUAUAUUUGAUCCUCUCUCCAUACCCCAUCCAGGCAACCGUGUCUCCUUUCUAUCUGUACUCUGAAGUUUCUCACUCUGUUAGAUUUUAUCACCAUGAGGGAGUUCUCUAUAUCUGCCAAUGAAUUCUAUUUUGAAAUCUUUUAUGGCUGAUUUUAAUAGAACCACUCCAAUCUCCUUAUGAUGUCUAUCAUCAUAGAUUAUCUUUUUUCCAUAAAUUUAUUUUCAAUGUGUCUUUAUAUUGAAACUUCAUUUCUUGUAAGCAAUAUAUAGUUCACUUCUACAUUACUGUAAGUUUAAGCAUAAUCCUCUUAUCACCUGUGUGAGGCAGACAACCAAGACUCUAUUAGUCCCAUUUUACAGGUAAGAGUGGAAACAUUCCCAUAUUUAGCAUGACACAGACCUAGGACCCAAGCCCAGGUCUUCCACACUCAUAACUUCUUUUUCCAAGACUUCUUUUGUUGUUUAAGAUUUUAUUUAUUUAUGGGCCUCCCUGGUUGUGCAAGGGUUUAAGAUACAACCUAUGAAGCUCUCCACAGCCUCUGCAGCACAAGUUUGAUCCCCGGCCAGGAAACUACCCACAUGGCACAGCAGACCUCUCCUGUCUUGCCCACUGCUGCCCUCAGCAGUGUAUUUCAGUCAGUCUCCCUGUUCUGUUCCCCACUCUGUCUCUGGUGAAUCCUCUCACCCUCCACACCUCUGGCCUGUACCCCAGUGGUGGUUCCAGCUCGGGGUCUCACGAGGCUGCAAUCACGAUGUCAGGCCGAAGAAAAGGCUUGAUGGACAUGGAAGGAUCUUCAUAAAGACUCAUCCAUGUGGCUGCUAGAAAAAGCUUCAGUUCCUCACCAUGUGAGCAUCUCCUUAUCUGAGUGCCCACGCAGCACAGCAAAUGUCUUCCCCAGAGAGGAGCAGGAGAGAUCAAGCAGGAGAUCGUGGAGCCUUUUGAGCCUCCCUGUGAAGUAGCAAAGGCACCCCAGCCUCCUCCAUGAGCAGGGAGCCAGCAAGUCCGGGGACUCACAGGAGGGAAAUUGGUCUUGACCUCUUGAGUAUAUAAAAAAACCUGUGAAGAUUUGAAAAACUUCUACUGUCUAUCAUCUGGCCACUAAAUAUUUAUAUCCUUUUGUCAAAGAAAGAAAAUUAUGCCGAUACCUUGUAGAGAAUAGUCAGGCUUUAUUCAAACAAGCACCAUGAAGAAAACAGGCUUAAAUCUAAAUACGUGAAAGAUAUAAGAUUUAACACAUCUGGACUCUUAUUUUUCUGGGGAUUCCUUUUCUUGCCCACUGAAGUUGGACAUUUGCCUGAACCAGGCGAAAUCUGCCCCUGCAGUGUGCACAGCUGGGCUUCUGCUCUGUUGCUUCAGUCUCUACUUGCUGCAUUUUCAUCCUAGGUCUUGAAGGGUUUGACUUGUCUCCAUGUGAUUCAAUGGUCAACCCAGGUUUUUUGUCUCCAUGCGAUUCAAUGGUCAACUAAGGUUUUGGACAGUGUCUACCCAGAUGUUGGCAUUCACUCACUUGUUGGUUAUCUUAUUCCUGGUGUACUCAAAUACCCAAAGGCUGCCACGAAAUCUGAUGUUUGAUUCCUCAAGUCAGUAAGAUUUUUCUUCUGGUUCUCUGAGCUUGUGUGGAUCGGGGAAGUCAUGAGUCAUAGGUGCAGAAUCACAGAUUGCACCAGGAUGAGUCUGUCACUCAAGGGUACAACGCCCUCUAAGUUCUUUCUGGUUUUCCAGCAGUUUCUCUUGAGUGUCCCACACCUCAGCACAGUUUAGUGGUCAUUCAGGGAUUUGACAGAGUUUGUAUUCAGAUUUGGGAUUGCACCUCUCUCUCUGUUGUUAAAAUACAUGUUAAUUAAACUAUUUGGACAUGCCAUAUUUUAAGGAUAUACUUAAACCCCAUGUAGAAAAAUUCAUGAUUUCCACAAGAAGAUAAUUUUAUUAUACAUUAUAUUUUAUUAUACUAUUUUAUUAUACAACAAAGUAUUGGGGGGCAGAUACUGAAAGUUAAGAACAUUCUAGAUAUGUACUGUCAAUAUGGUAGUUACUAGCCACAUAUGGCUUUUUAAUUUUAAAUGAUACAUAGUUAAAUAUGCAACAUCUCAGCUCAUGAGCCACAUUUCAAGUGUUCAAUAGUUAGAGGCACCAUAUUGGUCAGUACAUAUAUAGAACAUUUUUUUCUUCCAGAACAUUCUGUUUGACAGCACAGCUCUUCAUGCUUUGGGAGCAUCAAGUCAGAUGCAUUAAACACAUGUAAAGUCAAGGGGCCAAUAUUAUCUCUCUUAAAGAGGAGGUGAGGUCCCUGGAUGGAAAUACAUACUAAGCAGGUGAAAAACAAAAUCAAAGAAGAUUAUCAGUGGGUCUGGUGCCUCGGACUCAUAAACUGUCCCAGUUCCAAAGGGAAGCACCUGUCUCUCCAACUCCCUUCUCAGACUGAAGACUCUCUCUCAUCAUCUCUGAAAUGAGUUCUCUUCCAGGGAGUACAGGGGCAAAACUCUAAGAAAAACUUUGGAAAUAGGAAAUCCAAACCAAAGAGAUGGAUGCUGGCAGAGGACACUUGGGAGACUCUCCCUGGUUCACUGAGAAAAGCAUUUCCAGAGUCGGUCUGUGGAAUCCUUGAGGUCACCGAGAACCUUUUCCGGGAUCCAGGAGGUCAAAACUAUUUUUAUAACAUCACUUAGACACCAUUUGCCUUUCACUAUUUUGGCAUUUGCUAAGCUCUUGUCGGGUCCUCCUGCCUGGAUACUGGUGACUCACCCCAGGGCUCACUCCCCAUUGCCUGGAGGUCUCCAGAGCAGCCAAUCAGCAGCCCCGCGGCUCCCGUUCCAAAGC